rnacentral:rRNA from 1 species
GACGAACGCUGGCGGCGUGCCUAACACAUGCAAGUCGAACGGUAAGGGCCCUUUCGGGGUAGACGAAUGGCGAACGGGGGCGUGAAACACGUGUGACCUGCCCCCCACUUAUUGAGAAAGCCACGAAAAAGGGUGGAUAAUUGGAAAUACUCCCCGGCUUCCUCGUGGAGGUUGGGAGGAAGCUCCGGCGGUGGGGGGAGGGGCCGCCGCCCGGCAGCUUGGUGGGGGGGUUGUUGACCUACCAGGCCAAGGGGGGGAGGCUGGCUUGGGGGCCGGACCAGCCAGAUGGGGACUGAGCACCGGCCCAGACUCCUACGGGAGGCAGCAGUGGGGAAUCUGGCACAAUGGGCGAAGGCCUGAUGCAGCGACGCCGCGUGCGGGAUGAAGGCCUUCGGGUUGUAAACCGCUUUCAGCAGGGACGAGGCGAAAGUGACGGUACCUGCAGAAGAAGCCCCGGCUAACUACGUG